rnacentral:rRNA from 1 species
AACGAACGCUGGCGGCAUGCCUAACACAUGCAAGUCGAACGAGACCUUCGGGUCUAGUGGCGCACGGGUGCGUAACGCGUGGGAACCUGCCCUUAGGUUCGGAAUAACUCCCCGAAAGGGGUGCUAAUACCGGAUAAUGUCUUCGGACCAAAGAUUUAUCGCCUUUGGAUGGGCCCGCGUUGGAUUAGCUAGUUGGUAGGGUAAAAGCCUACCAAGGCGACGAUCCAUAGCUGGUCUGAGAGGAUGAUCAGCCACACUGGGACUGAGACACGGCCCAGACCUCUAAGGGAGGGAGGAGGGGGGAAUAUUGGACAAUGGGCGAAAGCCUGAUCCAGCAAUGCCGCGUGAGUGAUGAAGGCCUUAGGGUUGUAAAGCUCUUUUACCCGGGAUGAUAAUGACAGUACCGGGAGAAUAAGCUCCGGCUAACUCCGUG